AAAACUCAAAUGAAUUGACGGGGGCCCGCACAAGCGGUGGAGCAUGUGGUUUAAUUCGAUGCAACGCGAAGAACCUUACCUGGUCUUGACAUCCACAGAACUUUCCAGAGAUGGAUUGGUGCCUUCGGGAACUGUGAGACAGGUGCUGCAUGGCUGUCGUCAGCUCGUGUUGUGAAAUGUUGGGUUAAGUCCCGCAACGAGCGCAACCCUUAUCCUUU
rnacentral:rRNA from 1 species